GACGAACGCUGGCGGCGUGCUUAACACAUGCAAGUCGAGCGAUGAAGUUCCUUCGGGAAUGGAUUAGCGGCGGACGGGUGAGUAACACGUGGGUAACCUGCCUCAUAGAGGGGAAUAGCCUUCCGAAAGGAAGAUUAAUACCGCAUAAGAUUGUAGUACCGCAUGGUAUAGCAAUUAAAGGAGUAAUCCGCUAUGAGAUGGACCCGCGUCGCAUUAGCUAGUUGGUGAGGUAACGGCUCACCAAGGCGACGAUGCGUAGCCGACCUGAGAGGGUGAUCGGCCACAUUGGGACUGAGACACGGCCCAGACUCCUACGGGAGGCAGCAGUGGGGAAUAUUGCACAAUGGGGGAAACCCUGAUGCAGCAACGCCGCGUGAGUGAUGACGGUCUUCGGAUUGUAAAGCUCUGUCUUCAGGGACGAUAAUGACGGUACCUGAGGAGGAAGCCACGGCUAACUACGUGCCAGCAGCCGCCGUAAUAC
rnacentral:rRNA from 1 species